UUUGGACUUUUGAUAUUUUCGAUUGCAGCAGCCCAUCUCUUUUCCAACUCCAACAAUUCUCUUUUAGUUCCCAGCCAAACAUACAACACAUGAUAACAACUAGACGCACACCAAAUGUGACCCCACCGCACCCUUCGUUCUUCUCUCCAAAAGUUCAAUGAAACCCAGUUCAUGCACUGAAAAAGCCCAGAACUCCAGCAAAGCAGCGGAUCAGACAACACCAAAGUCGUGUGACGUUAGUCCUCUCUUACUCUCGCGCGUCGUCCUCUUCUCUCAUACAUGGAGCAAUUUAGAGAUUCAGUCCAUGUGGCUCCAUCUCCUUGCCAAAUUGUCCUUUGCUCAAAAUCGACGGCCUACAUUAUCAAUCCGUUGGGAACUGGUACAAUUCCUGCAACAACCUUAUCUCUUAAAGAGGGAUUUGAAUUUCGAAUGGGGAAAAUAUCUUUUAAAAUUCCCCCCAAGUCUGACCUAGAUUUUCUUCUAUAAAUUCCCCAUCUUCUUCUUUAUUUCGGGGGUGGGGGAAAAAUAGAGUUAAUGGGUUACGAAGAAUAAAAGGGGAAGAAAUCGGAAGAAAGUAACACUCCAAUAGCCACAUUUUAGAUUUUCUUUCUUACGAAAGCUUUCGACGGAUCUUAUAAAAUUUAUAGUAGUUUAAUCGUAUGUUGAUUCCAAAAAGAAUCAUGAGUUUCUUUUAAUCUUGGUUUCUCACUUAUUUACUAUUCUCCGAAGUUCUUGGAUUCUCAUUGUGAUCGUGGAAAGCUUUUUCCCUGAUCGUCUAGUCUCAGUCGCUGCCAAGGAAGAGGCCAUGAAAUCCCAAAUAUUUAUGUCUUGAGUCAGCUGGUAGCAAGUCGUUAAGCAAGUUUCUGGAGGUUAAACAAAGCUGGAAUUCGAAUUUUCAAGCUCUUAAAUGCCAGAAAAAGAUGUUGUAUACACUGAUAUACAUGAUUUAUACAGUAAUAUACAGUCGUAAAUACUGUAUACAGGUUCAAAAACGACGAAGAAGGUUGAAAAAUACAGAAAAUGUGAAGUUCAAACUUAAAUAUAGAUUUAGGAGUUCAAAACGAGUCAAACACUUGAUGUAUAUCAUAUAUAGACUUGGUGUAUAUCUUAUCAUUUGAAGAUUGAAAGAAGCCCAAAAAAAUUUAAAAGAAUGGCCCCGCAGCAGUUUUUUUUUUUGGAAAUUUAGCAAAACAGCAACAUUUUAGUCUUUAGGGGACUCCUUAACAACAUUUUAACUAUUUAGUAAAAAUAGCAAUAUAUUAGUUGUUAACAUGA